rnacentral:rRNA from 1 species
UGCGUAGGCGGCUAUAUAAGUCAGGAGUGAAAGGUUCCCGCUAAACGGGAGCAGGUCUUUUGAUACUGUAUAGCUUGAAUAAGGUUGAGGUUAGCGGAAUGUGACAUGUAGCGGUGAAAUGCAUAGAUAUGUCAUAGAACACCAAUUGCGAAGGCAGCUGGCUAGACCUAUAUUGACGCUGAGGCACGAAAGCGUGGGGAGCGAACAGGAUUAGAUACCCUGGUAGUCC